AGUUGCCUACGGGACGCAGCAGUGGGGAAUAUUGCACAAUGGGGGAAACCCUGAUGCAGCGACGCCGCGUGAGCGAAGAAGUAUUUCGGUAUGUAAAGCUCUAUCAGCAGGGAAGAAAAAUGACGGUACCUGAGUAAGAAGCACCGGCUAAAUACGUGCCAGCAGCCGCGGUAAUACGUAUGGUGCAAGCGUUAUCCGGAUUUAUUGGGUUUAAAGGGUGCGUAGGCGGAAGGUUAAGUCAGCGGUCAAAUGUCGGUGCUCAACACCGGCCUGCCGUUGAAACUGGUCUUCUUGAGUGAGCGAGA
rnacentral:rRNA from 1 species